rnacentral:rRNA from 1 species
GACGGGGCCGCACAAGCGGUGGAGCAUGUGGUUUAAUUCGACGCAACGCGAGGAACCUUACCAGGGCUUGACAUCCCCUGUACCGCGUAUGAAAGUACGUUUUCACCCUCGGGUGACAGGGAGACAGGUGGUGCAUGGUUGUCGUCAGCUCGUGUCGUGAGAUGUUGGGUUAAGUCCCCGCAACGAGCGCAACCCUUGUCCUUAGUUGCCACCAUUCAGUUGGGCACUCUAAGGAGACUGCCGGUGUUAAACCGGAGGAAGGUGGGGAUGACGUCAAGUCCUCAUGGCCCUUAUAUCCAGGGCUACACACGUGCUACAAUGGCCGGUACAAAGGGUCGCAAUACCGCGAGGUGGAGCUAAUCCCAAAAAGCCGGUCUCAGUUCGGAUUGGAGUCUGCAACUCGACUCCAUGAAGUCGGAAUCGCUAGUAAUCGCGUAUCAGCGCGACGCGGUCGAAUACGUUCCCGGGCCUU